ACAUUGCCCAGCUCAAGGCCUUAGGAGGCAGGCGUCAGGAUCCGGAGACGCCUGCCUCCUGAGGCCUUGAGAUGGGCAAUGU
rnacentral:pre_miRNA from 1 species